UACGGAGGGAGCUAGCGUUGUUCGGAAUUACUGGGCGUAAAGCGCACGUAGGCGGCUUUGCAAGUUAGAGGUGAAAGCCCGGGGCUCAACUCCGGAAUUGCCUUUAAAACUGCAUCGCUAGAGUUGUGGAGAGGUAAGUGGAAUUCCGAGUGUAGAGGUGAAAUGCGUAGAGAUGUGGAGGAACACCAGUGGCGAAGGCGACUCUUUGGCCUGUAACUGACGCUGAGGCGCGAAAGCGUGGGGAGCAAACAGG
rnacentral:rRNA from 1 species